AGAAGAAGAAGAAUAUGGGAUCGAAGAAGAUGAUCCGAACAAUAGGGAGAAGCAGAUGGAUUUUGGGAAUCGAAGAUGGAACUUGAAGAAUUGAAGAAAUGUUAAAUGGAGAAGAGUGAACAGAGAAGGCAGAAGGCAGAAGGCAGAAGGCAGGAGGUGAGAGGGACCAGAGGGUUACGUCAUGGAACUUGGAUUGGUGGUGGGGCCUACGGGUUUGGGCUGAAUGCUGGCUUACAAACAUAACUAUUCAUGAUGGGCUAUACUAUCAGUUCAGAGGUUAUUGGGCUACAUUUUUUCAUAGAGCCAACAUAUUUUGAGUGCUAUGCAGGUAUGUCGCUAUUUUGGUGAAGGUGAUGCAGACAAAAGAGUGUGUAGCUGCAGAUAUAGGACUAGCUAAGUUGGUUAGAUUGGAUAUACUCAAGGGCGGAUUUAUUGCUGAAUUUUUUAUUUAUUUACUUUUUUAUAUUUAAUUUUGUGUGUGUGUGUGUGUAGUUUUAGUGGUUUAAACCAAAUAUAGCUAAAGUAAAUAAUAGUCUAGCCCUCUAUUCAAAAUAAGCCCAACUCUCUAUGUAGAAAUAAGCCCACUCUUGAAACAUAUAAGAAAUAGUAAACAUGCAAUCCAUAACCUAUAUAAAUUUGAUUAAAAGCAAAUAUCAGAAAUUUUCUUC
rnacentral:lncRNA from 1 species